CUUCUCAUCCACCGGCAACCUACCAAACAACAACCUCCAAAUGAACACCGAGAUGGUAGGGGUCCACCCUCCAUUCCAAAUCAACCCAAAAAUCUCACGCUUCGGCAAUUUCGUCCGGAUGCUCUUCCCAUGGCUAGUCAGACUCCACCGCCUCACAUCCUUCGCCCCCAACUCGAUCGGCGUGGCAAGACAAACUAUGCAGCAUAUUGAACUUAAGACUUUGGAGACAAAUUAGUUUCCGCUUUGUAUUUAGAUCAUCUCUAGGAAAAUAAUAUGAUUGCUGUAGAUAAAAUGUAAACCUUGAGUGCCACUUGGAAGGCACAAACCUAGAUGUUCUAAGAAAGACAUUACGCCUUUCUGUGUAAGAUUGUAAGUACAUAUUGCAGGUAUUGGAUUUAUUUGCUGAAAGGACCUAUGCAUCAAUAUCACCAUAUAUCUCGAGAGUAAUCAUUGUCAUCUUUCUAGAUCGUUCUUGGCUCGGUUAGUAUCAUUGUUUCGAUGAGUAUGCCUGGUGAUUAAACAUGAACUUUGUUUUCUUUGUAUUUGAUGUUGCCAUAUUAUGCUCUAUAACAUAUUUACAGUGUAUACAUAUACAUAUAUCUGUUCUACUCGAUGAAGCUACAGUAACAUUUUCUUGGUGCAGGUGCUCUUGUAUGCUGCGGUCUUGAUGACCCUCAUAUUUCCCUUUGAUAUCUUCUAUCUCUCAUCUCGUUUUUUUCUCUUGCGGACAGUUUGGCGAAUUGUUUUCCUUGCUGUUAUAACUGAAGGGCUCAUAUUCAUACUAAAUGCCCACAAAAAAGAACUCUGGUAUUUUUUUCCUGAAGAUAUGACAUCAACAAGUACAAGUUAUUUGUUACACACAUAGAUUGAAGGAGCCAGUGUGUGAACGCCAUGACAUUUAAAUUUUAUGCCAUCCCUUCCUUAGCAGAUGUGAAGUUUCUAACCAUGAACGCUUGCCACUCGGCUCUGAGGUUGCAUGUAUGCGCAGGUUGAGGCAGACUCUGUUUGCGGGAGUCACUCUAUCGCAAUACCAAUACUUCUUGUUUUGCCUUAUAUUUUCCGUUUCUUCCAAUGUCUUCGCCUGUCACUCUAAAGGGUAUGCUUUAUCAUCGCAUUUCCUUGAAGAAGUUGCAAUCAAUAAAACCAUUUCAUGUCUCGGUUUAUAUAAUGGUAUGUAUAGAAAACAAAAUUCAUGUAGGAGAGUAUUUGAUUUCCGAAUAUCCAUGAGACAAUACUCUGUUUUCCAUUCGUUA